rnacentral:rRNA from 1 species
AUUGAACGAUGGCGGCAGGCCUAACACAUGCAAGUCGAGCGGAGCGGCGGAAGGGCGAGUAAUGCCUAGGUAUCGGCGUGGUAGUGGGGGAUGAAGUUCGGAAACGGGCGCUAAUACCGCAUACUAUCAGCAGAGCCUUGGUCGGAUUAGCUAGUCGGUGUGGUAAAGGCCUACCAAGGCGACGAUCCGUAGCUGGUCUGAGAGGCGGAUCAGUCACACUGGAACUGAGACACGGUCCAGACUCCUACGGGAGGCAGCAGUGGGGAAGAUUGGACAAUGGGCGCAAGCCUGAUCCAGCCAUGCCGCGUGUGUGAAGAAGGUCUUCGGAUUGUAAAGCACUUUAAGUUGGGAGGCGUUACCAACAGAAUAAGCAACGGCUAACUCCGUGCCAGCAGCCGCGGUAAUAC